UCCCUGGAGGACUAUUGGUUAGGCCUCGGCACUCUCACUGCCAUGGCCUGAGUUCGAUUCCUGGCCGUGGAA